CAUUGGGGCCGUCACUGGGGCCAUUGUGGCCAUCAUUGGGGCCAUUGGGGCCAUUGGGGCCAUCAUUGGGGUCGUCAUUGGGGCCAUUGGGGACAUUGGGGCCAUCAUUGGGGACAUUGGGGCCAUCAUUGGGGCCAUUGGUGCCACAUUGGGGCCGUCAUAGGGGCCAUUGGUGCCACAUUGGGGCCAUUGGGGCCAUUGGGGCCAUCAUUGGGACCGUCAUUGGGGCCAUUGGGGCCGCUAUUGGGGCCGUCAUUGGGGCCGCGGUGAGGCGCGCUGUGUCGCUGAG
ensembl:lncRNA